ensembl:lncRNA
UGGGAGCUCGUUGGUGUUAAUUACCUGCCACUUCCGCCUAAGGCAUUUUGCGCCACGUGGACUUAAAUCAGCAUCUGCUACACAUUUCAUCAACUGCCGUUUCCUCAAAGUGCUGUGCUAACGUUAAUCCCAGCUUCACCGAGGUUCUCUCAGCUCUGUAGCCUGUUUCAUGUCUGUUCAAGGAGAAUGCUUUCUAACAGUGGAUUUACCCUGAACUGCCUUUGUGAAAGCUGGUUUGAGGCCAGUAAAUUACAGUAGAGCAUGGUGUGGCUUGCCAGAGAGGGGCUUCAUUAGUCCGUCUGUUUGACCUGCAGUUUCACCUGCCCGUGUCCUGUCAGCAAAAUGUAGCCUAAUGUCACUAAUAAUUAUUCAUAUGUUAAUGGUUUUAAUAAAUCUUUCUAGAUUGCCACCAUAUUGGUGAAUUUAAAUUAAUAUUUGUAUUCAGAAUAUAAGGUGUGUGUACGCACGUGUGUUUAGGAGUCCACCUUAGCACUUGUAGCCUCUAUGGCUUUAUUAAAUCAUUGUCAGUGUUUGAUGACUAAAAUCUCUCUCGCCAGUAUUAGCCAGAGGAGGAUGUCCUCCAGGAGUUUUUAAUUUUCUUUUUUAAAAUUUAUUGUUAAACCACAACGUGGUAUCGUGUACUUCUGGUGGUAUUAUUACCGACUACUAGAUUUUUGGUAUUGUGACAUCCCUAAUGCACACACACAUAUGGCUUUUGUAUGUAUAAACACAGAGCUACAGCAAACAGCUUAUGGUGUGUGUAUUUAUUUAUGACAUUGUUAAUAUUACAUCUGUUAUUCACAUAACGUGUACAGUAACAAGUAAAAAUACUUGCAUUGGAGUUCGUGUUACAUUUCACACAUCCUGCGAUCCGCUAUGUCCCAUAAAAGUUGAAAACGCACAGUGGCUAGGUAACAAUUAAGUCAAUGCGACUGUUUAAUGUGAAUUGUUUUGCCGUUUGGAUUUUACCUUGUUACUUCAACUGUAUUGUUAAAAAAAAUAGACAGUUGCAAAAAUGAAACUUUUAUCAGCACAAAAAUAAAGGUUGUUCACGCUGCCCCGAUUCUUCUUAACUUGCUUCCUCUUGAUGAAAGUUUGGACAGUUCCUUUGGUCAAAAGUCAACUGACUGAGUCUGCAUCAAAUGCAGAAUCAUCUGCUGGAACAGCGUCUUCACAGGACACCCAUUAUUCUGCCUAGGCGAAGUACCACAGAACAAUGCCAGCCAUGGCCAAAGCAGUUCCCUCUUCCACAGUUUGCAUACGAAACCGAGAUGUACCUUGAAAGAGCCGUUGAAGACUGCG